AGAACGAACGCUGGCGGCAGGCCUCAAACAUGCAAGUCUAGGGGGUGUAGCAAUACAUCACCGGCGGACGGGUGCGUAACGCGUGGGAAUGUACCUAUUGGUUCGGAACAACUGAGGGAAACUUCAGCUAAUACCGGAUGAGCCCGAAAGGGGAAAGAUUUCUCGCCAAUAGAUCAGCCCGCGUCCGAUUAGCUAGUUGGUGGGGUUAAAGCCUACCAAGGCGACGAUCGGUAGCUGUUCUGAGAGGAAGAUCAGCCACACUGGGACUGAGACACGGCCCAGACUCCUACGGGAGGCAGCAGUUGGGAAUCUUGGACAAUGGGGGAAACCCUGAUCCAGCCAUGCCGCGUGAGUGAUGAAGGCCUUCGGGUUGUAAAACUCUUUCGACGGGUACGAUAAUGACGGUACCCGUAGAAGAAGCUCCGGCUAACUUCGCGCCAGCAGCCGC
rnacentral:rRNA from 1 species